AAGUCGUAACAAGGUAUCCGUAGGUGAACCUGCGGAUGGAUCAUUACCAAAGAUUUUUUCAAAGUCUUGUGAACUGUUUUGAACUACACUGUUGGGCUUACUCUAGGGCAAGCCCGGCGGUACCAUACACGUAUAUAACCCCAAACUGACGUCUACUUUAGUAGUAAAUCAAACUAAAGACAACUUUUAGCAACGGAUCUCUUGGCUCUC
rnacentral:misc_RNA from 1 species